rnacentral:misc_RNA from 1 species
UGCAAAAACAAGAGCAAGACUAAAGAGGAGGAAUGUAGGGACCAAAGGUCUAGAAUAGAAUGGGGAAACGAGCAGAAGCAUAAUUACUUAAGAAGCAUUUAUAGGUAGGGAGCAAUUUAGGCGGACCUGACCUUGAAGUCUUGAAGUCCAGUCAGCACAUCAAGAUUCGACAUUUUCUGCAUAACCUGGAAAAAUCCAUGCGAAAGGUUGAUCCAUCUUCUGAAACAUAUGCAGAAACCAAUCUGGCAGUCUUAUCUUCAGCCAUCAACUGUGCUGAUCAGCAAAAGCAAAUAGGAGUCCUCAAAUUACGUAGGUGAUUACCAAGAAGAUUGAAUCCUCUGAGAGAGAAUGGAUUCAGAGUCUAAUAAGUAAUCCCCGAUUAUAUAUAUAUUUCUCGCGGAGAACGGGGAAUAAUCCGGAAAGGAAAAUCGUUGUCCGGUUCCGGUUUCGGGGAUCUUUUUUGAUUAAUAGACUAGAGGAGGAAAGAAAGUACAAAAUGCUACUAUGACACCCGCCAAAGAUUUUCAUUUCUUACUCAUUCUGAACGAUAGUUCAAAAAAAGGUAUUAAUUCGAACACAAUCCAUGAGCGGCUUUGCAGUACCUUUGAAUGUAAAUCAGUCUUGAUAGCACAAGGAGAAGCAAAGAAAGAAGACACCUUCCAUUAUGAUUUUUUUUGUGGAGUAAAAUGAAAAUCUUUUGAUUCAUCCAAAAGCACCUUCCUAGCAAGAAAGAUCAAAACUUUGUUCGAGGACAUGGAAUGUGACAUUCAAUUCAAAAAAGGGUGGGGACCGAUCUGUAUCUACUUCUUGUCCGUACAGGAUUUUAUAGUUUAUGGUGGUUAUUCAAAAGAAGAGAUAAUAGCGGUGGCACAUGCCACACGACGCCAUAAACGCCAAAACCCACUGAAAAAUCGUAAUUUUAAUAAUAAUAAUCAAUCGUUCGGUUGUAAAAGCAGCUUCGUCCCCAAGAGCGGGAGAUGGUUGAUCAACUGGAAUUGGUUGGUUAAACGAACCGUUUUCGUAGCUCUCAUUUUUCAAGGUAUCGGAUAUCUAUUUGAAACAUUGAUUAAGCCGUACAUCCCCAUAAUCGUUCUAUUUCUAUGUAGUGUCUUUCAUUUCAUAUUUGUUUUUUUAUGGUCCAUAUUCAUUGGGGAAAUAGACGAAACGGCGCCUGGGCCACAACCGUCGCCACAACCGGCGUUAACCCCUAUUGAAAAUAGAUAUUUCGUUUUUCUUAUUUUGUUCAUUCUUUAUAUUCUAGUAGAAAGAUAAGAAUUGAAUUAUGGAAUUCUCUUCUGCGCUCCUAUACGCCCUCUGUGCAGUGACCAGAGGUCCGCCAUCUAACCGAAGCUAUUGCAUUGUUUGCCCGCCUUUCUGAUCUCAUUCGUAUUCUAAUCUUCAGUCUUCUUUCUUACAACUAUCUUUUUGAAGCAGAUAGUUCACAGUGCUUAUUCUAUAGAUACUGUAAAAGCCACCUCAUGUUUCCACUCUAUUUUCAUUACGAAGAUGUAUUACGUCAGGAUCUGUUGCUCAAACUGAAUUACGCCAACGUUAUGGAAGUUCCUGGAUUGUGUGAAAUAAGAGUAGUACCAAAGGCACCUUAUGAUUUCAUAAUCAAAAAUGGAAAAUUGGCUAUGGAGAUUUCAUGCGGUCAGAAAUUCAUACAGACACAAAGGGGUUCGACAGGAAAGUCGUUUCGAUCCAAUCCAUUCUUGGGGUCAAAUAAAGACAAAAAAGGAUAUGUCAGUGACCUAGCACGACAAAGCACUCUCCGAGGGCAUGGAAUGUCUAAUUUUUUGGUCAGAAUCUUGACAGUAAUGUCUCUCUUAGAUUCUCCGGUCGAAAUACGGGAAAACUCCAUUCAAUUCUCGAUGGAAACGGAGUUUUGCGAAUUCUCCCCAGAACUGGAAGAUCAUUUCGAGAUCCUCGAACAUAUUCGAGGGUUCAAUGUGACUAUUGUCACUUCGGCCAACACACAAGAUGAGACUUUACUACUGUGGAGCGGCUUUUUUCAAAAAGAUGAGGGGGAAAGUCAGUAAGAUGUCGGAGAAGCGAAAUAUACGAGAUCACAAACGUAGAUUGCUCGCGGCUAAGACGAAAGCUUUAUAAAGCCUUUUGUAAAGAUCCUCCUAGUGAUAUGCGGGACAAACAUCGUUAUAAGUUGUCCAAGUUGCCAAAAAAGAGUUCCUUUGCACGAGUAAGAAACCGAUGUAUUUUCACGGGUCGCCCUCGUUCCGUAUAUGAGUUCUUUCGAAUUUCUCGUAUCGUUUUUCGUGGAUUAGCAUCUCGAGGUUCUUUGAUGGGCAUAAAGAAAUCGUCUUGGUAGCAACCACCAAACCAAUAGAACAAGGCUUAGCUCUGCAGCUGGUCCAUAAGCAAGGUAAGUAGGUCAAUUACCGGCCGGCUCCGGACCGAAAAGACCUAACGGAGUAAUCCCUUAUCUCGGAUCGGAGAUGCUAACGGGGCUGGGGGACCUCUCUACCGCCCGUGUCUAUCUCCUGUCAAGUAUGCUCCCCAGACAUAGACUACGUACAGGGUGGUAAUCUUGGAAAGAUAGAAUAUCACCGCGUAAACAUAACAUUAAGUUACGAAUGUAACUCCCGAGGGGUCGACCACUAUUCUAAAUAUAGUAAGGCGGAGAACUGUUGUUCAUUGGAGCGCCGGAGUGCGGAGGUUGUUCCCAUCAUUGAAGUCAGAGUGUGGGACUGAGCCCUUCGAAUGAUAAAGAAAAAAAAGUGCUUAGUUUCGUUGGAAAAACCAACGCACAUCAUAUUGACUUUCUCUCGCCCUACUUCUAAAGUAAAGAUAGAUAGAAAGGGUUGGAGAGAAUGACUUUCUGAAAUUCUCUCCUUUCUAAAGCUGCGCAAGGUGGCCCCCCCAGAACAAAACCCCACCCUUUCCCCCUUUAAUGAAAGACCCUCGCCCCGCUUCCUAUUCAUUUGUGGGUCGGGACCCGAGGGCCUUUUUUUUUCUCAACAGGUGAUUUCAAGAAUCAACCAACCGAAAAAUCCGUAGCCCAGGUGACUCACAGCCUCCCUCUCGCCUAAAUGAAAUGGGAUGAAUCAAAUCAAUAAGCUUUUUGAUUGAUUCAGGGCGCAGCGAAGCCAAAUUCAAUCAAGGCAAGGGGGGCUUACUUUUCCUGACACUGAGUCAUCCUAUUCAAAUUUAGCUAUGCUAAUGGAACAGGAAAAGUUUUCAGAUGAUAUGGACCCCAAGAGAUGAUCGAGAACCUCCAAUUGCUUAGGGGUCGCACUCUGUCCCGCUUGGUGGACGAAAUCUUCUCUCCUUUUAGUUUUCUUUCUCCCACACGCCUUUGCCCUCUUUCACCGAAGAGGAAAGAAAAUCUUCCAAGCGGACAGAGACCUAAAUUUCCAUUAGAUUCAUUCCUAAGCUUGCUUUGUUCCAGCAAGAUGAUCAGUCCGAGAGGGCUGGAGAGAAAGCGGUAAAAACCUCUCUGAUUCGGUCACCGAGCAGUCGGACGACUUUUCAGUAAGCCAGGAUGACCCCUUCGACGCUUCUUUCGCUGUAUACCCCCUCCAUCCUUCGGAGGUGGAAGAAAGGGUACUAUAUAUAUUAUAUAUAUAUAGUCAGUAGGGCCCCAGAACGCUAAAUAAAAAGGUGGGGGAACAAGAGUUGUCACGAUAGGAAAGAGAAAUGACUAUAAGGAACCAACGAUUCUCUCUUCUUAAACAACCUAUAUCCUCCACACUUAAUCAGCAUUUGAUAGAUUAUCCAACCCCGAGCAAUCUUAGUUAUUGGUGGGGGUUCGGUUCGUUAGCUGGUAUUUGUUUAGUCAUUCAGAUAGUGACUGGCGUUUUUUUAGCUAUGCAUUACACACCUCAUGUGGAUCUAGCUUUCAACAGCGUAGAACACAUUAUGAGAGAUGUUGAAGGGGGCUGGUUGCUCCGUUAUAUGCAUGCUAAUGGGGCAAGUAUGUUUUUCAUUGUGGUUUACCUUCAUAUUUUUCGCGGUCUAUAUUAUGCGAGUUAUAGCAGUCCUAGGGAAUUUGUUUGGUGUCUCGGAGUUGUAAUAUUCCUAUUAAUGAUUGUGACAGCUUUUAUAGGAUACGUACUACCUUGGGGUCAGAUGAGCUUUUGGGGAGCUACAGUAAUUACAAGCUUAGCUAGCGCCAUACCUGUAGUAGGAGAUACCAUAGUGACUUGGCUUUGGGGUGGUUUCUCCGUGGACAAUGCCACCUUAAAUCGUUUUUUUAGUCUUCAUUAUUUACUCCCCUUUAUUUUAGUAGGCGCCAGUCUUCUUCAUCUGGCUGCAUUGCAUCAAUAUGGAUCAAAUAAUCCAUUGGGUGUACAUUCAGAGAUGGAUAAAAUUGCUUUUUACCCUUAUUUUUAUGUAAAGGAUCUAGUAGGUUGGGUAGCUUUUGCUAUCUUUUUUUUCCAUUUGGAUUUUUUAUGCUCCUAAUGUUUUGGGGCAUCCCGACAAUUAUAUACCUGCUAAUCCGAUGUCCACCCCGCCUCAUAUUGUGCCGGAAUGGUAUUUCCUACCGAUCUAUGCCAUUCUUCGUAGUAUACCUGACAAAUCGGGAGGUGUAGCCGCAAUAGCACUAGUUUUUAUAUGUCUGUUAGCUUUACCUUUUUUUAAAAGUAUGUAUGUGCGUAGUUCAAGUUUUCGCCCGAUUUACCAAGGAAUCUUUUGGUUGCUUUUGGCGGAUUGCUUACUACUAGGUUGGAUCGGAUGUCAACCUGUGGAGGCACCAUUUGUUACUAUUGGACAAAUUUCUUCUUUUGUUUUCUUCUUGUUCUUUGCCAUAACGCCCAUUCUGGGACGAGUUGGAAAAGGAAUUCCUAAUUCUUACACGGAUGAGACUGAUCACACCUGAUCAGUGAAAAAUUCUGACACCAAUCAUUUACAAGUGAGUAUUACACCAAGAAUUGACAAGCGGAUGAGUUUUCUAGUUGGCUAUGUUGAUAUAGCUUAGAUAGGGAAAAGAUACUCCUUUUCGUAUGCUCGGCAGGUAAGUUUAGUACUAGCGCAUCAGAAAGAUAGGCCAGGAUGCUACGGUAGGACGCAAGGGGUUUGGCAUAUAGUCUCCGUGGAUUUGACAAAUGUUGCAGCGUUUAACAUAGUCCAUACAAUUCUGGACCAUUGUAGGCCAGUAGUACCCUAUCUGUUUGAGCUUAACUCGCAUCUUUGGCCCAGACCGGUGGGCACCACACACCCCUGAAUGUACUUCGUACAUGGCUUGCCUUGCUUCAUCACUAGACAAACAUCUCAGCCACAGCAUAAGACUUUUUGUAUAAAGUUUCGUUUAAAUACACAUACUGGGGCAACCUCCUUCGAAGCUGGGUUCCUUUGUGGCUUUCUUCUGGCCAUCUGCCGUGCUUAAAGUAGUUAAUAAAAUAAUGUCUCCAAUCUUCAAUAGAUACUUCCAUGCAGGGAGCCAUUUCCACUAUGGUGACAGCGUUGCAAUCCUGGAGUUGUUCUUUCCGGCCUGGAAAAAGGACCCUGUCAUGUAUAAUGACUUAUGUUCUGCCACCAGGGGGGCUGCUAGAGCGGCUACUAACUUGGCGAAUGCGUCUGCUUUGUCGUUCUUUUUCUUUUGUACGUGGCAGAAUUCGAGUAGCUCGAACUCUUUCAUGAGCUCCAUAGCCAUGGCGUGGUAGGGCAACAAUUCUGGUUUGCAUACUUCAAAUGUACCCUAGAGUUGGCGAAUGAUUAACUGCGAAUUCCCAUAGGAUCAUGAGGACCUUUAUACCAAUUUGGUUGACUACCAGGAGGCCGGCAAUGAGCGCUUCGUACUCAGCUUCAUUGUUUGAACAGCCUUUCAGUAAGGCAAAGGAGAAAUGUAUAACGAUAUUAUUAUAGAAGAAAGAAAGAAUCCAUCUCUACGCAGAAAGAUCUAUGCUAGGAUGACAGCGCUAUCCUGAUGAAGCCGUAUGACACCUUUUCUUUAUUUAAUCGAAAUUGGCUUGGUCUUAUUUGAGCCGAGGGUGGAGUGCUUAAUAAGUAAGUCCAGUAUGCCAGAACCAGUAAUAUGGCAAGCAAGAGCUAAUGUUUUGCUUGCCAUAUAAUAUAUAUAAGCAGAGGAAGCAGCUUAGCCUUUCCUUUCAGUAAAUGAAGAAGCUUUUAAGCUAAGCUAUUUACGGAACAAAAUGAAAGUCAAUAAAGUCAAUACCAGUGCCAUCCUACUCUGAUAGUAAGAGAGGAAGCCCUUAAGGACUAUCCAUAAACGCCGGUGGAACCCUCCUCACUUUCUCCCAUGUUUUUGUUGGUCAACAACCAACCACAGCUCUCGUUUUCUUCUUCACUACUCGUACAGGCUUGACGGAGUUAAGCUG